rnacentral:lncRNA from 1 species
GCGUAAAGCCGAAGGACAUACGUAGACUGAUCAGUGGUGGUGUCUUGCUGUUUCAAGCUAGAUCCAAUCACCUAACACCGAACAAAGCUACCUAAUGUAUGAUCGAUGAUCACGUCAGUGUCUCACCGGCAUGAAUGCAAGAUGAGCUAGUGUUUUGUAGUUUUCCUUAUUUAUUUUUAUUUUCUUCGAGUUGGGGACACUCCACUUGAGGUCGACGGGUUACUUAGCAGGUCGGAGCCGAGUGUGCGCGCAAUUGGAUUAUGCAUUGGCUCGUGCCGUCCAUUGCCGCUCACCAUCGAAUACGCAGGUAGCCGAUGGAAGCACGACACGCUUGGCGAGCGACAGAGACCCGAUCAGUGUGGUUUUCUGCCGGCUGCCCGCCUAAACAUUGGAGCUCUCGACUCUCGAGUCGCCUCGUCUCGCAGAAGAACCUCGUAUUUUAGCCUAAAUGUUGCAUUAGAUGAUUAGAACAUAUGCAAUC